CCACAGCACGACCUGCACAUUCGUGUUUCCUCAUAUCGUAGAAACACAGAACGUAACUCCACCUGUGUCCCCCUAGAGUUCGUGUAUUUUUCUUUAGGACGCACGGGACGCUCUGGUAAAAUAAUCCUCCCCCGGAGGGUCUCGACGACUCUUCAGCUCGGAGGCCCCUGGGCAGGCCCCUCCUAGUGCCUUUCCAUCAUUCCCGACGGAGCGUCCCAUGCCCCUGAACCCCGGCACGACCACGGCCACGGCCACGGCCACGGCCACGGCCACUCUCUCUCCUCCCACUCUGCCAGCCCCUAGAAUGAGUUCCGAUUUCCCAUCGUGGGCUGUAGUCUCCAGCACGGGGCCCUUCGCUUCCUCCUCCACCCUCUCUCUUCCUCCGAGGUCUCCUGGACCCCUUCUGAGCGCCAGUGCCCGACCUCCGGGGGUUGUGCCCCCGCCGAGCUCCCAGCCCCGUGUCGGAGCAAGGGACCAAAGGAGCCGGUGACAAGGCCACACCACAAGCCCGCCUCACCGUUGAAGGAAGCUGGAGGAUGCCAGCCACCGGCGGCUCUCCACGUUGGCCUGGAACCUGACGAUGCCCUCAGUUCAACCGGGCAGGCGCCGGCGGAUUGCACGGAGCGCGGGAUGUAGGCCCCAAGAGGAAGGGCUUCUGUCUAUCUGUUCACAGCUGGGUCCAGGUGCCGGAAGCCUGCCUGGCUCACGGAAGCGCUAAAACGUCUGUUGAGUGAACGAAGAAGCCCCUGGUCUAAUGGCAGGUGAGGUGCAGCCCUUGUCUUCACUCAGCAAGAGCCCUCGCAGAGGUGAGACCCCAGAUCCCCAGACACGGGGGCAGAGUGCUGUCCAGGAAGUCUGCAGAAGAUUCUGAGGGUCACAGUGGAGCUGGUGUGAAAGUGGACUUGUGUGUGUGUGUGGGGGGGGCGGUGGUUGGGGGCUGCAGGAGAGCGUUCUAGGCACACAAAGCAGGGACACUUCAGGCCUUGGGGACGUGGUGGCCAGACCCCUCCAGAGCCCGCCGAGUGCUGGUGCUGCUGUGGUGUUACAGCGGAGGGGACUGGGGGGUCCCUGGUGCCCACACUAAGGACCGCAGGCCUGACCCCAUGGCAGAGAGCCCCCUGCUGUGAUUAAGUCAGGUGCACACGGUCCUGAGGUGCACUUGGAGGAAAGAUUGGCUUGGAGCCAGUGGGGGGGGGGGUGUCUACGUGAGGAAUCAGGGGGCUCUGAACCAAGUCCCGCUGGAAAGGAGAAAAUGAGUGUAAUUCAGACACUUUCUGACUGACUGAGGGCAGCAGAACGGAGGACAAGAAAGUUCCAAGUUAAUGCUGGGGUUUCCUGGAGGCAGAGGGGAGGGGACGUUCACGGAGGGGGACAGCAGGCCUCCACGGGAAGCAGAGGCCGGACACCAUAAUCACUCACAGAUGAUGCAGGGUGUGGGGAGGGGGACCCGAGUACCAAGGGGCCAGGGCCCUUCCCCGCGCUGGGGUGCUGGCGGCCCCAAGGUCACUCCCGGACCUCACUGUUCAUGUCUUCCCCUGAGUCCAUUCGCGGGCCCUCUUCCCAUGGUGCUUCAGGCAAGGGGGUCUCCCCGACGCCGGCCCUCAGCUCUGGGGUGGGGGGAGCGCCCUCGGCCGUGAGGGAGACCCCUGUCCCUGCCCUCCCGGCUUGUCCUCUCCCAACCGCUCCUUCCCACCCACUGGGCGCUGACUCUCCGGGGUGGGGGUGGGGGUGGGGGGGGCCCUUGGCCCCACCGCCCAGGGUCUGCAGCGAGAAGGGCGUGGGCAGAGCUGGAUCCUGUUGACGAAGCUUUGGGCUGAUGGCUGGGGUUCGUGGAGUCCAGAGCCGAGGGCCAAGAAAGAAUUCUUGAAGACGUCUUUGGUGUAUAAGCAAAGCAUCAGCAUCAAGACAGCAGGGAGUCCCUGGACUUGAGGCUGUGAUGCGAUUGCCUCUUUCUGGAAAACUGGUGGAGACCUUAUCCGUUUAACCUUCCGUUUUUUGUCCUUUCCUGGUUUGGGGGGACGGGGGUGCCGUCAGCCUGCCCCACGCUCCCUCAUCACAGUGAGCGAUGCGCACACACGCUUCUGUGUCUCUGGACGGGACCGAGCCCUCGGAGGGCGGACGUCUGCUCCUUCCCGUGUCCUCGGCCGCCACCGGGCCGGUACUCGCUGGCAUCGACCCAGUCACCGAACAGGUGACCGCCACCCUUCACCCAGCUCCAGGCCAAGACGGGGGCUCGGGAACAGUCACUCGGCGAGAGCUGUCCGCUGCGCGCUAAGCCUUCUGUGCCCCUGACCCUGCUCAGCCGCGGCAGCCUGAACCUGGGCCCGAACCUGGGCCCGGCCUCGCCGGCACCCCGCCGGGUCCGUCCACCCGCAGGCAAUGCCACCGGCACCCCGCCGGGUCCGUCCACCCACAGGCAAUGCCUAGAGUAGCAUCGUCACAAAUAAGCCCUAAGUAAAAAGAUAAUGGCUCAUCAGAACAAAGAGAAGGCAGACUUUGGAUCCGAAGGUGUCUGAGCCGCCACUGUUUUCCUUGAUUCCCCGGGGCUAGAAAAUAAAUGCAAUUCAAACGUGAAGUUUGCUCCAAUUCACUGGCUAGGCCGGAAAUCAUGAAGUUGAAACCCUAGCCUCGAGCCGCGUCUUUGCAAAACGACUCAAAGGAACAAUAGCCAGCUUUUCAAUGACUCUCUGGGGUGCGAAGUUUCUUUGUCUACUAAGGACAUUGCUGGAGGCGACCAAGGUGAUGAGGGACUCCAGCCAGUGGAGACACAGACAAAAUCCCGGUUUCUGCUUCACCCUCUGCCUUUGCACAGACAGGAGACACAGCCGGUCCAAGCAGAAGAGAAGCAGAGACACGGGGCCCAGCAGGCCGACGGGAAAGCCUGGGGCGAGGGGCGAGGACCACCCACGCCUGCCUCCUUCCUGGGAGGCUGAGCCUGGGCCCCGCCCACAGCUCCUGGAAGGCAGCGCGCUGUCCCUCUCCCCGUCACAGAGACAGAAAAAGGGGACUGCCUUUUUUUUUUUUAAUCUUUUUUCUUUCAACGUUUAUUUAUUUUGGGGACAGAGAGAGACAGAGCAUGA